CCUACGGGAGGCAGCAGUGGGGAAUAUUGGACAAUGGGCGAAAGCCUGAUCCAGCCAUGCCGCGUGUGUGAAGAAGGCCUUCGGGUUGUAAAGCACUUUCAGUGGGGAAGAAAGCCUUGGGGCUAAUACCCUCGAGGAAGGACAUCACCCACAGAAGAAGCACCGGCUAACUCCGUGCCAGCAGCCGCGGUAAUACGGAGGGUGCGAGCGUUAAUCGGAAUUACUGGGCGUAAAGCGCGCGUAGGCGGUCUGAUAAGCCGGUAGUGAAAGCCCCGGGCUCAACCUGGGAACGGCAUCCGGAACUGUCAGGCUAGAGUGCAGGAGAGGAAGGUAGAAUUCCCGGUGUAGCGGUGAAAUGCGUAGAGAUCGGGAGGAAUACCAGUGGCGAAGGCGGCCUUCUGGACUGACACUGACGCUGAGGUGCGAAAGCGUGGGUAGCAAACAGGAUUAGAUACCCCGGUAGUC
rnacentral:rRNA from 1 species